UUGGCCAAAGGGGAGAGCCCUGCCUGCCGUCUGAACUAAGGCCAGAAACAGAAAAGAAAAGCACUAAGGCCUAGGACGAACAUCUUCCAUUUCUUGCUCCUGUUUGCCUGGUGAAGAAGAAGCCAGGGUGACUUCGAAAGCUUGCAACAGGAAUAUUGUGGGUUUUGCUUGGCCCCAUAAAGGUAUCGUGGUUUGGCUGGGAUUGGACUCUUCCAUUGUCCUCUCAGGGGAACCUUUGAGGCCGCGCCCACCGUUUCUGCACGAGCCGAAUAGCGCGCCGGACUCUGGCCGCGCUCUGAUUGGCUGGGCGUGGCCUCGCGAGAGCGCCGGCGCGUUUCUGAUUGGCCGGCUCCAGUUUUAGUAAUGGCUGCGGCCGCUUAGGCAGGGUGCGAGGCCCUUAGCGGUCCCCCCUUGAGAAGGCGCGCCUUUUUUCCUCCGGCCCUCGCCAUGGCCAGCGUCCACGAGAGCCUCUACUUCAACCCCAUGAUGACCAACGGCGUGGUCCACGCCAACGUCUUCGGCAUCAAGGACUGGGUCACCCCCUACAAGAUGGCGCUGAUGGUCCUCAUCGAGGAGCUCAGCCAAGGCGGGGCUGAGCUCAGCCUCCUCGAGCGCCGCCGCCUCAACCGCCGCCUCCUCCCUUUGCUCCAGGGGCCCGAUAUGAUGCUCUCUCGUCUGAUUAAAGCGGUUGAAGAAUGUUGCCCUCAGGUAGCGAGUUCUGUUCAAAUAAGGAUCAAGCUGAUGGCAGGAGGGGAACUGAAAGAUAUGGAGGAAUUCUUUGAUGAUCUUUCAGAGGCAUUCAGUGGAACGGAACCGGAAGUUCACAAAACAAGUGUUGUUGGCCUGUUUCUGCGCCACAUGAUCCUGGCCUACAACAAGCUCUCCUUCAGCCAAGUGUACAAACUUUACACAGCUCUCCAGCAGUACUUCCAAAAUGACGAGAAGAAAAGUGGAAGAGAUGAGACCGAGAUGGAGCUGACCCACUGUGAGGAACUGGAUGGGAAGAUGGAGAAAGAAGAAUUUGAUGGGCCCCUCAGGGAAGAAGAAAUCUCUUGCAAUGGGCCACUCUCACAGAAGCAAGCGGAAUACUUCCUAUCCCAGCAGGCGUAUUUAUUGAAAAAUGACGAGACAAAGGCUCUCUCUCCAGCAUCUUUACAAAAGGAGCUGAACAAUUUGUUAAAAUUUAACCCAGAUUUUGCUGAAGCGCAUUAUUUAAGCUACUUGAAUAGCCUCCGCGUCAAGGAUGUCUUCAGUUCAACACACAGCCUCCUUCACUACUUUGACCGUUUGAUUCUUACCGGGGCAGAAAGCAAAAGCAACGGCGAUGAAGGUUACGGACGGAGCCUGCGAUACGCAGCACUGAACCUGGCUGCUUUGCACUGUCGCUUUGGACACUACCAGCAGGCUGAGCUUGCCCUGCAGGAGGCCAUCCGGAUUGCCCAGGAGUCAAAUGACCAUAUCUGCUUGCAGCACUGCUUGAGCUGGCUGUACAUCUUGGAACAGAAAAAAACGGACAGCUGUGUUCUUUUGGAACAUUCUGUGAAGAAAUCUGUAUAUUUCGGACUACCAUAUUUAGCUUCCCUGGGGAUCCAAUCCAUGGUUCAGCAAAGAGCUUUAGCUGGGAAGACGGCCAACAAGCUAAUGGAUGCCUUGAAGGACUCAGAUCUCUUGCACUGGAAACAUAGCUUGUCUGAACUCAUCGAUAUCAGCAUUGCCCAAAAGACAGCUAUCUGGAGACUGUAUGGUCGCAGCACCAUGGUGCUCCAGCAGGCCCAAAUGCUCCUUAGCAUGAACUCCUUGGAGGCUGUGAAUGUGGGUGUGCAGCAGAACAACACGGAAUCCUUCGCUGUGGUCCUGUGUCACUUGGCCGAACUGCAUGCAGAACAGGGUUAUUUUGCGGCUGCCUCUGACAUCCUGAGGCACCUCAAAGAGAGGUUUCCUCCCAAUAGUCAGCAUGCACAGGUACUUCUGAACCUACUCCUGAAGUUCUGUUUUCCAGCUGUGGAUGCUCUUUGAUCAGAAAAUCCAGUUCGACAGAGCCAUGAAUGAUGGCAAAUACCAUGUUGCUGACUCACUGGUCGCUGGAAUUACAGCCCUGAACAGUAUUGAAGGGGUUUACAGAAAAGCAGUAGUACUUAGAGAGCAGAAUCAGAUGUCUGAGGCGCACAAACUUCUGCAGAAACUUUUGAUCCACUGCCAGAAAACGAAAAACACAGAGAUGGUGAUCCG